rnacentral:lncRNA from 1 species
UUGAUAAUGUUCCUUAUUAACAUCAUUGUAACAGUUGUUUUUUGCACGGUUAUUUAGGUUGCUUGCUUAAUUUCAUUAAAUAAUUUAUGUUAUUAUGGCUGCAAAAUUAUUUAGAAAAAUACAGCAAAUGCUGGAAGCUAGAACAGGAAGUUAUAAAUCAGCAUCUUGAUGGUAAAAUGAAAAUCAACAACUAGUAGCACUUCUUUGAAUUGUCUUUAAAUUAGAGUAAUGUUAAUUUUGAUUGGUAUGGAGAUAGAUGCAUACAAUGGAAAACGAACUGCUGUUAUAUUUUUGGAAGAGGUUAAACAACAAGAUGUAAUUCGAGAUAUUGUUUCUAAAAUUCUUAAAGACGUGUUAUUCGUUCAAGUAAACGAUGCUGUUAAAGCAGGUUGUCUGAGCAGUUAAAGAAACUUAAUCAAAUGAUUCAAAAUUCUCUUCUUUAAGCAGCCGAAGCAACGAUACUCGAAAUGCCUGGAAUGGAUAAUUAACCAAGUAA